UUUCUUCUGGUUUCCGGUAGCGUGAGGUCGCCGCAGUGUUUACGGAAGGAAAUUGCUGACAAGUGAAGAUGCCAGACUUUUGUGCAGCCUACGGAUGCGUUAAUCUGCGAACUCUCGAAACGAGAACCCGUGGGAUCACCUUUCACCUGCUUCCCAAAGCCAGAGCGAUGAGGAUAAAGUAGGAAAUUGCCCUAAGAAGGGACGGUAUUGCUGCCUCUGACAGGACACUGCUCUGCAGUGACCAUUUCAGGAGUGAGAACUUUGACAGGAUGGGGCAGAAUGUCCGGCUUAAAGAUGGUGUUGUGCCAACCCUUUUCAACUUUACAGCUCAUCUUCAAAGUUCUGUAGCAACAAGAAGCACAACCCCAGCUAAAAGAGCGGAAGACAACCUUGCAAUGGACUUGAUGCCUGGUGUUGGAGCUACUGGAGAGAGGAGAUUGAGCCGCAAGCGGCAGGCCACUGACGACCACUUGUAUGCAUUGCCUGUUUGCCCUACAGCUAUGAAGGCCAAACUUGAAGAAGCCUCAGCGAGAGUGAGGAAACUGCAGCGGGAGAAGAUCAAUGGCUUCAGGAGAGAAAACAGGGCCAAGAACAACAUGCAGGCUGUUCUGGAGGAACUGAAGGAGAAAAACCUCAUCAACGAAGAGCUGAAAGACAAGCUUGAAUGCUAUGACUUUUUCUAAUUUAAUUUCAGAUCUUCCGGUUCAUCUCCUGUCGAGGCAAGGUGUAGAGUACACCAAGGCCCAGAGAGAUCUUGCCCUUACGCUCCAUCUGCAUGGUCCAAAUGCAUAUCACUACCUGAGAGAUACUCUGCACAUUCACCUGCCACAUCCCAGUUCAUUGCAUUCAAGGUAUUCUUCAUGAUGUCUAAUUUUACACUGAAUUACAUUAAGCACUACAGACAAUAUUAUUUAGUGUGUCCACCAUAGGGAUGCUUGUGUUAGUGGUUAAAUGGCUACGUGGUUAAAUAUCUUCUUUUUAAUUAUAAAAGGUAGCUGAGCUCUCUUGAUGCCAGACCUGGUCUCAAUAAAAUGAUGUUGGACAUGCUGGAAAGACGGCGUCAGGAAGAUGAGGUCAAAUACGGAUGUGUCACUCUGAUGCUGGAUGCCAUGUACAUCAAAAAACACGUCCAACAUGAUCCUCAGACACAAAUAAUGUUUGGAUAAGUGGACAUGGGGGAUCGACUGAAUGAGACUGACAUAGCUUCUGUGGUUCUUGUGUUUAUGGUGGUUGGGCUUCAAGGUUAUUGGAAAGCUCCAAUUGCAUAUUAUUUGACCAAGUCCCUCACACCAGAAUCACAGAAAGUGUUAGUAGAACAUGCAUUAGAAGAGCUGCAUCAUCGUCAGAUAAGGGUGGUGUGCAUGACAAUGGAUGGUCAUGCAACAAAUAUCAGUAUGUGCACCCAACUUGGGUGCGAUUUAAAAGCAGACCCCUGUAAGCCCUUGAAGACCCAUUUCCCACAUCCAGUAACCCAUGACAAUGUUUUUGUUAUGAUGGACGCUUGCCACAUGCUGAAGCUGACACGCAAUAUGUUGCAGGUACACGCUCAUUAUUGCUUAUUUUCUCUGACUGUUCUGCUUUUUAUACAUUUUAAUUUUAUUUACAUAAUUCUGCAGAAUAUGGUGCUUUACAGUUGAUGUGUGCAGUGAAAAAUAAUCUGAUUCUGCAGGCAUACAGCCCAAUUAGAAGCAUAACUGGCAGUAUCAAUUUGAAGUACAUAGUUCAGCUGAACAAUGUCCAAAAGAAAAGUGGACAUACAUGCUGCCCAUCGAGUCACAGAUAAGCAUGUGAAUUUUGCUAAUCAGAAGAUGAAGGUAUGUUUGCAUGAUGAUUUAUGUAUAGAGGGCCGCAAUAGAAAUGGGCUCUAGGGCUUUAUUGUAUUUUUUAAUGUGCUCUUCAUUUCUCCUUAUAAACUCAAUCAAGGUCUCCCUGGCUGCUCAGACUUUGAGUAACUCUGUGGCAGUGGCGCUCCGCACCUUGCAGGACGUGGGCUAUGCCGAGUUCAAAGAUUGUGAGGCUACUUCUGAAUUAAUUAAGUCUUCUGUGUCUUCUGCAUCGAGUUCAGGUGCUCUGUCCUCCUGUCUGCAUCAAGUUCAUAAGAUGCUCUGUCCUGUUCCUCUCUGUCAUGGGCUUCGUCAUAAACAUUGACACGUUGAUGUCGAUGGUUCCUGUGCUGCUCGAAGGACAGCAAUAUGUCCUGACCUACAGAUUCAGCCAGGACCAUUUGGAACUUCUCUUUAACUCCAUCAGAGCAUCCGGUGGCGCUGGAAUAACAACCCAGUUCAAAUAGAUCUUCAGAAAGCUGAUGGCCCAGUGUGGAGUUGUUAAACCAUGCAGAGGCAAUGGGACUGCACAGGAUGAGACAGAGUCCCUAUCAGCGGUCAUCGACAACAAGCCUGUCAGCUGUAGAUAUGUCCUCUCUAGCAGGAGGAGAAGAUCUUCCAUCCCCAUUUGCUGACAUUCCUGCCCUAGUACAUGACCACAGCAACCUUCCCGUCUGCUAUGAUGGUCUUGUGGACAACGCUCUCGUGUACAUUUCAGGUGAAGGCUGACUGAAAGUCGAUUUUGCCUAUAACCGAUAGUGCCAAUAGUCAACUCUGUGAGAGAACACUCUUGACAGUCCAAAAAAAUUUAUGUUUCCUUAAUUUCCCCACGCAUAUUAUUGUAAGUUAUGAUAUUAUACUAACCCAAAUU